ACAUGAAAGAUAAAGCCAGUUAAACAGUUUUAGUCUUAAAUAUGUUAACCAACAUAACUGUUCAGUAUCUAACCUCUAAAUAAAAAGUUACAUUAGCAAUAUUUUGUUCUGCAAUUCAAUAAUGAGAAUACUUUCUUACAUUGUAAGAACAGCUUGUUGCAACGCUGUUCCUGGUAAAUCAGGUAAGUUUAUCUGGAAAGUAAUGUAUUUCUGGUUAAGCUCUACACUUACAUAGAAAUACUGAUCUGAAGAAACAAAAAAUUGUAAUAAGAGAUUGCACUGUAGGUCCAUGAUGCUAUUUGAGCUGCUAUGGUCAAUAAAUACCCUCAGUAAUUUUGUCUCCAUCUAAUCCCCUCGAUAUUGCAAAUAGGUUUAGUUUGGACAUUCCCAAUUCGCUCUUCCAUACUAGUAAAAUAGUGAUAUCCCUAGCAAAGGAAUGCUGCAUCUUUACAUACUGUAUCACUCUACCCCCUGAGCUCUGCGUAUUUAGUGUAAAAAUAUAGCCUUGUAUUUUAAAAUUUCAGAUAACAUACUGAAAUUAUUCAUAAUCCAAACUGUAUUUUUUAUAGACAUGAGAAACAUGAUAACUCUGCUAUAUACUUUAAAACCCUGGAAGCCAGAGAAGGUAUCCAAUACUAUACUAUAUACUUACAGCCACUGGAAAUCAGGGCCCCCUCCAUGGCUUUCCUGUUGAGGAACUUCCAAGGCAGCACCACUGAACACUUACUAGUCCCAUUUUUAAGAUCAGUUGACGAUUAAUUGAAGAAAGCUCAAUAUGGUUAGCUGGUUUCUGCACUCUUGUGCUACCACCAAUGACUCCAGGUGCUCAGAAAUAUGGCCUAAACCCCCUACUUUGAGUACGAAGCAGAGAGAUGCAGCAGUGGCAUGCAUAUAUGCAGCAGUGGUGUAUAUGAAUGUGAACACUGGGUGGUGCUGUUGGUGCUCUGUAGUGCCCCAGAAACUUCUGACAGAACUCUGUGUCUACCUGUUUUUUAUACCGUUUAUUUUAUACUGAUCCCAGCUGGGGAAACCUUUGUACCUGUUGCAUUGUUACUAGCUUAAUAUGCAGUGUCUCUUCCCAAGAUCAUAUCGAUAACCAUAUCAGCAUGUGAGAUCUUGAAUAAAAUAAUAAUUUUAUUCUUGGGAAAGAUUCAGGCCUCUUGCAGCGAUGAUGAAUAAAGCCUGCCAAAAACUAUUGCUUCCAGUAGGGCAAGAAGGCUCCUGUGAACAUUGGAAGUUGUAACUCAAAAUCUGCUAAAUAGUACCUAAGCGUCCUCUUCACACGCACACAGGUAUGAAUUUGUAACUGGCCAGGGGCUCGAGUCUGUCCCAAUACUACCACAGUCAACAACCACUCCACUUCCCAGCCUCGGAAAGAAAAGUAACAUCUGUUGUGACAGAUUCAUGCAUAUGCUCACCCUUGCUUCAGGGUAAAGAUCCGUAGUGACACUGACUUGCGAAAUACAAUGAAGACACAGGUUAGCGAGAUAGUGUGACAUGUCACGCCGACACCAUGCAGGUAGAGCACAGAAUCUGGCUUGGCAUGGCCUUUUCCAUACGUAAGUCUUACAAAACUGGAGAGGAGACAGCAGGCAAGGAAAUGAAAAGCUGAAAGAAUCUGGACUUGGGCAAUUACCUGAGCUGACGUGAGUUGGAGGUGUUCUAUUUCAGUUCCGCAUUCAGUGAAGCUGUGGUGUUCCCCUCGCUAAAUGUCAUCUCUAUUUUCCUAAAGCCAAAAUGGGUGAGAAUAGAGAGCUAAAAGGCAGCGCUCUCACUUUGAAAGAGUGCUAUCUAAAUAGUGCUAUUAAGAAGAGCCAGAAGAGAAAAUCGGACUGAGUCACAGCCAGGCGAUCCAUUGGCAGUGUGGUGCCAACAGCAGAGGAACAGGUGACCCUGGCAUAGCACCAAUCCUCAGGGCUCGACAGAUGUGGCCUGGGCUUGUAAGAGAGAAAGGGCUCAAAACACGCUUUCUGUCACUUCCUGAGGUGACUUGAGACACACGCCAAAUGGUCCUUUGCCAGUUUAAUAUUCAAUAACUGUUGUUCCUUACUUUUUUAGUGCAUUGGCUACUGUCAACUUGCUCCACUUGCAACUCAAGAGAGACGAGAGACUUCCUGAUGGUAUCUGAGCAGCUGGGCAACUCAGUCUGAAUGGACUCAAAUAUUGCAGAGGAUUUGCCAAAAAGGACAAGACAGCCUACUUUGCCCAGCCUAGGCCUCACCCUCGGUUCCAUUUCAGAAGAAAAUUUGCAGCGCCUUUUGUCCUGUUAUCAACUUGUGAUAACAACAGACUUGGAAAGUUCUGUGCUGCUGCCUUCUCAGACUUUCCUUUGGCGUCACUUUGGGGAUAGAGAUCAGAGCCAGUAGACAACGCCGGCAACCAGGGCAACCAGCAGAAGA